AAGUCGUAACAAGGUUUCCGUAGGUGAACCUGCGGAAGGAUCAUUAUCGAGUUCUGAACGGGUUGUUGCUGGCCUCUAACCGGGGCAUGUGCACGCCUGGCUCAUCCACUCUUCAACCUCUGUGCACUUAUUGUAGGUCGGUCGAAAGGCUUUGCGCUUCGGUGCUUAGCUUGGAAGCCUUCCUAUGUUUUACUACAAACGAUUCAGUUAUAGAAUGUUCAUUUGCGUAUAACGCAUCUAUAUACAACUUUCAGCAACGGAUCUCUUGGCUCUC
rnacentral:misc_RNA from 1 species